UACGUAGGUGACAAGCGUUGUCCGGAUUUACUGGGCGUAAAGAGCGCGUAGGCGGUCGUUCAAGUCGGGUGUGAAAGCCCCCGGCUCAACUGGGGAGGGUCACUCGAUACUGAUCGACUCGAAGGCAGGAGAGGGAAGUGGAAUUCCCGGUGUAGUGGUGAAAUGCGUAGAUAUCGGGAGGAACACCAGUGGCGAAGGCGACUUCCUGGCCUGUUCUUGACGCUGAGGCGCGAAAGCUAGGGGAGCAAACGGG
rnacentral:rRNA from 1 species